AAGACUAUACUUUCAGGGAUCAUUUCUAUAGUUCGUUACUUUCUCUGUAUUUUAAUUUAAAGCUAAAUAGU
ensembl:snoRNA U3 Small nucleolar RNA U3